rnacentral:rRNA from 1 species
AUUGAACGCUGGCGGCAGGCCUAACACAUGCAAGUCGAGCGGAUGACAGGAGCUUGCUCCUGAAUUCAGCGGCGGACGGGUGAGUAAUGCCUAGGAAUCUGCCUGGUAGUGGGGGACAACGUUUCGAAAGGAACGCUAAUACCGCAUACGUCUACGGGAGAAAGCAGGGGACCUUCGGGCCUUGCGCUAUCAGAUGAGCCUAGGUCGGAUUAGCUAGUUGGUGAGGUAAUGGCUCACCAAGGCGACGAUCCGUAACUGGUCUGAGAGGAUGAUCAGUCACACUGGAACUGAGACACGGUCCAGACUCCUACGGGAGGCAGCAGUGGGGAAUAUUGGACAAUGGGCGAAAGCCUGAUCCAGCCAUGCCGCGUGUGUGAAGAAGGUCUUCGGAUUGUAAAGCACUUUAAGUUGGGAGGAAGGGCAUUAACCUAAUACGUUAGUGUUUUGACGUAGCCGACAGAAA